rnacentral:rRNA from 1 species
GACGAACGCUGGCGGCGCGCCUAACACAUGCAAGUCGAACGAGGUCUUUUAGGAAGCUUGCUUCUUGGCUGACCUAGUGGCGGACGGGUGAGUAACACGUGAGCAACCUGCCGGGGAGUGGGGGAUAACGUCUGGAAACGGACGCUAAUACCGCAUAACAUAUCGGGAUGGCAUCAUCCUGGUAUCAAAGGAGAAAUCCGCUCUUUGAUGGGCUCGCGGCCGAUUAGGUAGUUGGUGGGGUAAAGGCCCACCAAGCCGACGAUCGGUAGCCGGACUGAGAGGUUGAUCGGCCACAUUGGGACUGAGACACGGCCCAGACUCCUACGGGAGGCAGCAGUGGGGAAUAUUGCACAAUGGGGGAAACCCUGAUGCAGCGACGCCGCGUGAGUGAAGACGGCCUUCGGGUUGUAAAGCUCUGUUGACGGGGACGAUAAUGACGGUACCCGUUCAGAAAGCCACGGCUAACUACGUGCCAGCAGCCGCCGUAACAC